CAGAGCAUUGCGUGAGAGACGUGAGGCAGCCUCCCUGGCUCCUUCCCCCACCGGAUUCCUGGGAAGAUUUCUACCAGAGAGCAAAUGGAGCAGACCGGCCUUUGGCUGUCCACCCCUCCCCCCUUCUCCUGCUGCUGCUGCUGCUUCAGGCCAACCCAAAGAGGCUGCUGGGAUCCGAGUUUCUGCAAGAAUGGGAAGGCAUCCCCUUUGGCAGUGGUGAUCAGGAGCCUUCCAUUGGAAAGGGACAGUGGUCUGGAUUGUAUUUGAUCUGGCAAAGAAGCUCCCCAAGACUGAAGACACAAUCUUGCCAAGAAAGGAAGAAUAGCUUGGAGGUUAAAAGAAAGCCAGAGAAACAAUGGAUUGAAAGGGGGCUCUUCUUGCCUCCUUGCAAACCUGACCAAGCUGGGGGUCAUAUGAACCCUUUGUUAGAGCAGCUCCAAUGGCUGCCAGUCUGUUUCCAGACACAUUCAAAGUGGCUUAUCUGACUAUCGGAAAGACUCUCUCUCUCCAUGAGCCUGCCCAGGCCCUCUGAUCUUCCCUUCUCUCAGCCCCACAGACAUAAGCGGUGAGGAAGCAGAGCUCCACCGCAACAAACUACAAUUCUCAAAAUCCCCAUGAUAGUGCUGUCAAACCAGAUUAUCUCUGGAGUGUGGGCGCAGCCAUAGGCAACUGCUCUACUGGUAGCAGCCUCUAGGCCAGGGUGCCAGAGUCCCUUUUGCUGCUGCGGAAUGGAACAGAAGCCUGCCAUGAGUUCAUCCAGCCAGAACCUGGAAGGUGGGAACAAACAUACAUCUGGCCGCACUGAAAAUGGACAGAGGGACACGAUUGGCUGAAAAGCAGCUGCAGUGGGAGGGCCCAAAUGUUGUGCGCACUUGAAAGGACAAUGGGUGACAAGACUGGCAACAAUGAUGUGUCAAUAUACAACCCAGCAGUCCUUAUUUCUGGAUUCUUCUCUCCGGGAAACCAGUGUUCUGUUUUCUCUUCUACUGCCUCUCUUCCCAAAAAGUUAGGAUAAAUCCGGACAUUGUUCUGUUUUGCAUCCUGUACAUCUUUUCCCAUUUCUUACAGAGAAUAUACAUAUUCCCCACUCGAA